rnacentral:rRNA from 1 species
AUUGAACGCUGGCGGCAUGCUUUACACAUGCAAGUCGGACGGCAGCACAGAGAAGCUUGCUUCUUGGGUGGCGAGUGGCGAACGGGUGAGUAAUAUAUCGGAACGUACCGAGUAAUGGGGGAUAACUAAUCGAAAGAUUAGCUAAUACCGCAUAUUCUCUGAGGAGGAAAGCAGGGGACCUUCGGGCCUUGCGUUAUUCGAGCGGCCGAUAUCUGAUUAGCUAGUUGGUGGGGUAAACGCCUACCAAGGCGACGAUCAGUAGCGGGUCUGAGAGGAUGAUCCGCCACACUGGGACUGAGACACGGCCCAGACUCCUACGGGAGGCAGCAGUGGGGAAUUUUGGACAAUGGGCGCAAGCCUGAUCCAGCCAUGCCGCGUGUCUGAAGAAGGCCUUCGGGUUGUAAAGGACUUUUGUCAGGGAAGAAAAGGCUGUUGCUAAUACCGACAGCUGAUGACGGUACCUGAAGAAUAAGCACCGGCUAACUACGUG